rnacentral:misc_RNA from 1 species
UGCAUUGCGAGUUUAACUCUCAUAAAAGGAACGGAGGAGAGGUUUGAUUAAAUGAAAUUUUGGUGUCAAAAUAUAAUCAAUUUAAUUAUUUAGGAUCUAUCAUAUAGAAGAAUGGAGUAAUAGAUCAGGAUGUAACACAUAUGAUCAGAAUAAGAUAGAUGAAAUGGACGAGUGCGAUGGGCAUGCUCUAUGAUUUUACAAUCCUUGAUAAAGUGAGAAGUAUGUUCUAUAGAAUUAUGAUUAGACCAGUUAUGUUGCAUGCAAAUGAAUGUUGGACAUGUAAGUAGUGCACCCACAAAAGUA